AUUGAACGCUGGCGGCAGGCCUAACACAUGCAAGUCGAAUGGUAACAGGAAACAGCUUGCUGUUUCGCUGACGAGUGGCGGGCGGGUGAGUAAUGUCUGGGAAACUGCCUGAUGGAGGGGGAUAACUACUGGAAACGGUAGCUAAUACCGCAUAACGUCGCAAGACCAAAGAGGGGGACCUUCGGGCCUCUUGCCAUCAGAUGUGCCCAGAUGGGAUUAGCUAGUAGGUGGGGUAACGGCUCACCUAGGCGACGAUCCCUAGCUGGUCUGAGAGGAUGACCAGCCACACUGGAACUGAGACACGGUCCAGACUCCUACGGGAGGCAGCAGUGGGGAAUAUUGCACAAAGGGCGCAAGCCUGAUGCAGCCAUGCCGCGUGUAUGAAGAAGGCCUUCGGGUUGUAAAGUACUUUCAGCGGGGAGGAAGGGAGUAAAGUUAAUACCUUUGCUCAUUGACGUUACCCGCAGAAGAAGCACCGGCUAACUCCGUG
rnacentral:rRNA from 1 species